rnacentral:rRNA from 1 species
UGCGUAGGCGGAAUAUUAAGUCAGUGGUGAAAUCCUGCGGCUCAACCGUAGAACUGCCAUUGAUACUGAUAUUCUUGAAUAUAGUUGAGGUAAGCGGAAUGUGUAAUGUAGCGGUGAAAUGCUUAGAUAUUACACAGAACACCGAUUGCGAAGGCAGCUUGCUAAACUAUUAUUGACGCUGAUGCACGAAAGCGUGGGGAGCGAACAGGAUUAGAUACCCUGGUAGUCC